AGGGCUUUUUUUCCUUCUUUGCGAUUGGCCGUGGACGGACAUUUCACAAUUUUGACACGGCCAAUUCACAAACCUGACAUGGCCGUGAAUAUUUACAAAAACGGCCGUUUUAAAUCGUGAAAAACGGACUUUUUGUGCUCAAAACUGUCAAAAACGGCCAUUUCGGAACAGAAAUAUAAGUUUCAUAACCUCGUUUUUAAUUCCGAAUUCGCGAAAAACUGUCGACUCGCGUUACCGAUGUUUGUUUGUUUUAAUCGAUUUUAAAGUGUUGUGUAACCGGUGAAACCGGCGUAAAUAGUAAAAGCUCUGCCCAGCAACGUCACUAUAAAAAAUGGCGACGCCGAACGCUCUCUCCUACACGAAGAAAAUUUAAAAAAAAACGCAAAAUAAUCCCGAUUUAUUUAAAUUUGGGAUAACAGUAAAGAAACAAAAGCUUUCUACAGAAGGAUCAAAUGACAACCUCCCAGGGAGAUCAUCAUACACUGGCGAGGGUCAGGCUCACAGAACAUGAAAAUUAUCAUGAAGAAGGAAUUUUCCUCUUCAGAUUUUGAGAGAAUUAUUGACAUUUUCAAGAGUAAAAAGAACAGAGUUCUAAAGCUGUAAAGUCCAGAACAUGUCUGAGUUAUGUGCCCUUGAAAUGUUCUAUGUUUAUAAAUGUUAUUCCUGUGGUAAAGAAUUGUUGGGACCAGGUAUUUUAGUUGCAUUUGGUACAUGAAUAAUUUUUUGCAAAUCAGAUAUAUGUAUAUGUGUUGUUAUUGUAUCAAAUACAGUAUUCAUAGAAGGAAAA